ACUGUUAGGAAGUGACAGCAGGACUCAGGAUGGUUUGCUUUCUCCUCACCCAGGUGGAGUUUGUCCCUGAGCUGCCCAAAACCGUCACUGGCAAGAUCAAAAGGAGUGAACUUCGGGAAAAGGAGUUUAGUCAGAUGCAACAGCAGUAAAUUCAGCAUCCCUUCUGAUGAACAUCACUCACUCCCCUGCCUCCCAGGCUCCUGUUCCUUUGGAUGCCCAGGCGGCGCUCAGAUCGGGGCUGAAGAUAAUAAAGUGCUGACAUCG